rnacentral:rRNA from 1 species
GUAGGUGGCAAGCGUUGUCCGGAAUUAUUGGGCGUAAAGCGCGCGCAGGUGGUUCUUUAAGUCUGAUGUGAAAGCCCCCGGCUCAACCGGGGAGGGUCAUUGGAAACUGGGGAACUUGAGUGCAGGAGAGGAAAGUGGAAUUCCACGUGUAGCGGUGAAAUGCGUAGAUAUGUGGAGGAACACCAGUGGCGAAGGCGACUUUCUGGCCUGUAACUGACACUGAGGCGCGAAAGCGUGGGGAGCAAACAGGGAUUAGAUACCCUGGUAGUCCACGCCGUAAACGAUGAGUGCUAAGUGUUGGGGGGGGUUUUCCGCCCCCCGUCAGUGCUGCAGCUAACGCAUUAAGCACUCCGGCCUGGGUAGUACGGUCGCAAGACUG